rnacentral:rRNA from 1 species
UACAGAGGUCCCAAGCGUUGUUCGGAUUCACUGGGCGUAAAGGGCGCGUAGGUGGCGAGGUAAGUCGGAUGUGAAAGCUCGGAGCUCAACUCCGAAAUGGCAUUGGAAACUACCUUGCUCGAGGGUUGGAGGGGGGACUGGAAUGCUUGGUGUAGCAGUGAAAUGCGUAGAUAUCAAGCGGAACACCAGUGGCGAAGGCGAGUCCCUGGACAACUCCUGACACUGAGGCACGAAAGCUAGGGGAGCAAACAGG